rnacentral:rRNA from 1 species
ACUCAAAUGAAUUGACGGGGACCCGCACAAGCAGUGGAGCGCCUGGUUUAAUUCGAUGAUCAGCGAAAAAUCUCACCUGGGCUUGAACUAUAGCUGCUAAGCCUAUGAAAGUAGGAAUCCUUCGAGGGUGCUAUAGAGGUGGUGCACGGUUGUCGUCAGCUCGUGUCGUGAGAUGUAGGGUUAAGUCCCACAACGAGCGCAACCCCUACCGAGUGUUAUAUAUUUCUCUCGGAACUGCCUUGCCAAAACGAGGAGGAAGGAGGGGAUGACGUCCAAUCAGCAUGUCCCUUAUGUCCAGGGCUACACAGACGCUACAAUGGCCAGUACAAUGGGCAGCCAAGCCGCAAGGCGGAGCUAAUCCCAUCAAAGCUGGCCCCAGUUCAGAUUGCAGGCUGGAACUCGCCUGCAUGAAGUCGGAAUUGCUAGUAAUCGCGUAUCAGCAUGGCGCGGUGAAUACGUUCUCGGGUCUUGCACACACCGCCCGU